AAAAGAUAUUCUUUGUUUAUUUAUGUCCAAAUGAUACACAUCUAUGUCCAAGAUAAAUGCAUUGUACAUAUGAAAACAUCUAGCCACUUGCAAUAUUGUCAACAUUGAAGUUCACAGAAAUAAAACAAUAGGAAUUUAUUUAAUGAUAUCUUAAUGUUCUUAAUGUUUCAACAGAUAAAAAAAAAUAACAAAUUUUCAGCUCAUUAAGGAGGUGUUAUAUUUGUGUAUAAUGUUCUAGUAGAUUUAAAAAGAAGUUCUUCAAAGAAUUGAGGGAUACAUUCAGGACAAGGUUUAGCUUUGACCACUAGAUAUUAAUACAUUUUGCCUAACUACAAAGUAAUCUCAUUUAGUGGAUAGCUAUCUACAGAGUAAUCUCAUUUAGUGGAUAGCUAUCUACAGA